AGGGUUUAGCUCCAUUCCAGAUCAUCUUGGCAGAGAGCAAUUUCCCAGAAAAUUGUCAAACACUUUCAGCCGCAGGAACUAUGAAGCCAGACAUCAAACUCAAAUUUCUUUCACAGUAACCUGUACUCUCAUUUGAAGAAGUUUAUGAAGCACUCAAGCAGUUGUUACACAGAAGUGCAAUCCAGAUUUUGCAGGGCAUUGCUGCCUUCCUGCCUGCCUUGGCCUCAGUAUGAAAGGAAGAAUAGGAACCUGGUAAGCUGGAACUCCUCCUCUCAAGGUGGAGGUUUUGAGUCUGGAUACUCUUGAGUCCAGUCAUGACUCCCACGCCUUCAGCAGCAUUCAGAGCUGUGAAAGGGUGUUCUGAGGCUGGGAUUUCACUUUUAAGAAUAUCCACAAGAGGGAACUGUUUUACAUAAAGAGGAGUCAUUUCCUUGCUGCUAAAACACUGCUUUCUGGAACCAAAUCCUCCAGAAUUACAUUGAGUUGGCAUGAUUGUGUCCUGGACUAUGCUACAUGGUACGAAUGGGAAAAACACAGAUAUUUCCUAGUAAGGAAACUUUCAAGUGCUAAGUCUGCAGCCUCUCUGUCAAAUCUGGACCCUCUCAAAGAGCAGCAAGAGAGGAUGUAUGUCACAGCCAUGGCUUCAGAGACUCAGUUCUUGUUAUCUGCCAGACCAGAAUAUGGAAGAAAUUCCACCAUGCAAAAGCCUUCCCUGGGAUACGCUGUGCAGCUGCUCUUCACUGUCCUCAUCUUUCAAGGUGCACAGGGUUUGUAGUUUCUAUUAGCUGUAAGAGUGCCUGUAAGUACCUGGCACUUCUGAAGAUCAGACAUCAAGUGCCUGUGUUACGAUGCUCCUGCCCUUGUUCCACUCCUGGUGUUUGCUGAUGGAUAAAAAGAUCCCUAUGUGUGUGUGCAGCUGUGAAAAGGGUGUUCCUCACAGAAUGCAGAGCAAAUGACCAUGGGGACCAGGUUCUGAGCCCAGGACCCAAG